CUGUUAUUCUUUCUACCUGAUUCGAGGAUUUUAAAAGAUAAGAAAAAAUAAGUUAAAAAUAUGUUUUCUGUCUUGUACUCAUUAAUUCUUCCAAUUUCCCUUCUCCAAAUCUCGUCUGGCGAUUUUUGUCCUCCAUAUUUUUGCUUAAUUCCCUUCAUUAUAUCUCAUCUUUGCCGAUUUCUCUUCUAAUAUCUCACUCUACCGAGUUUUCUCCUUUUCAAUCUUUCAAUUUUGUGAUUAACACCAUUAACAGAAAAGGAAAAGGGAAAAGGAAAAGGCUUGCGCUUGUAGAUGAAGAAUCGGAGGAGGAAGAAUUUGAGGAUAGUGUAAGUGGAGAUCAAGAGGAUGAAGAUGAAAUGGAUGCCGAUGAUAGUGAUGAUGAUGAGCUAGAAGACUAUGUUGAGCUUGAUGAUUGAUGUCUAUUGAGCUUAUCAUGGUUUUAUGUUUUGUUGAACACUUGAACUAAAGACUUUAAUUGCUAGACUUUUAUAUAAUUGUUUACUAUUUUAUGCUUUA